CCCUUAGAGUUUGAUCCUGGCUCAGGAUGAACGCUGACAGAAUGCUUAACACGUGCAAGUCGAUUCGAUUUACCUUCGGGUAUUGAGGAUGGCGGACGGGUGAGUAACGCGUAAGGAACUUGCCUCUUGGACUGGGACAACUGUUGGAAACGACAGCUAAUACCGGAUAUUAUGAGAUUCUCGCAUGAGAAACUUAUGAAAGCUAUAUGCGCCAAGAGAGAGCCUUGCGUUCCAUUAGCUAGUUGGUGGGGUAAUGGCCCACCAAGGCGACGAUGGAUAGCCGGCCUGAGAGGGUGAACGGCCACAAGGGGACUGAAACACCGCCCUUUACUCCUACGGGAGGCAGCAGUGGGGAAUUAUUGGACAAUGGGCCACAAGCCUGAUCCAGCAAUUCUGUGUGCACGAUGAAGGUCUUCGGAUUGUAAAGUGCUUUCAGUUGGGAAGAAGAAAGGGACGGUACCAACAGAAGAAGCGACGGCUAAAUACGUGCCAGCAGCCGCGGUAAUACGUAUGUCGCAAGCGUUAUCCGGAUUUAUUGGGCGUAAAGCGCGUCUAGGCGGAAAAAUAAGUCUGAUGUUAAAAUGCGGGGCUCAACUCCGUAUUGCGUUGGAAACUGUUUUUCUAGAGUACUGGAGAGGUGGGCGGAACUACAAGUGUAGAGGUGAAAUUCGUAGAUAUUUGUAGGAAUGCCGAUGGAGAAGUCAGCUCACUGGACAGAUACUGACGCUGAAGCGCGAAAGCGUGGGGAGCAAACAGGAUUAGAUACCCUGGUAGUCCACGCCGUA
rnacentral:rRNA from 1 species